rnacentral:rRNA from 1 species
GACAUAGGUGGCGAACGUUAUCCGGAAUUAUUGGGCGUAAAGGGCGCGUAGGCGGCCCGGUAAGUCAAAGGUGAAAUCCCUCGGCUCAACUGAGGAACUGCCUUUGAAACUGUCGGGCUUGAGGCCGGGAGGGGUAGCGGAAUUCCCAGUGUAGCGGUGAAAUGCGUAGAUAUUGGGAGGAACACCGGUGGCGAAGGCGGCUACCUGGACCGGUUCUGACGCUGAUGCGCGAAAGCGUGGGUAGCAAACAGG